CCUACGGGUGGCAGCAGUGGGGAAUAUUGGACAAUGGGCGAAAGCCUGAUCCAGCCAUGCCGCGUGUGUGAAGAAGGCCUUCGGGUUGUAAAGCACUUUCAGUGGGGAAGAAAGCCUUGGGGCCAAUACCCUCGAGGAAGGACAUCACCCACAGAAGAAGCACCGGCUAACUCCGUGCCAGCAGCCGCAGUAAUACGGAGGGUGCGAGCGUUAAUCGGAAUUACUGGGCGUAAAGCGCGCGUAGGCGGUCUGAUAAGCCGGUUGUGAAAGCCCCGGGCUCAACCUGGGAACGGCAUCCGGAACUGUCAGGCUAGAGUGCAGGAGAGGAAGGUAGAAUUCCCGGUGUAGCGGUGAAAUGCGUAGAGAUCGGGAGGAAUACCAGUGGCGAAGGCGGCCUUCUGGACUGACACUGACGCUGAGGUGCGAAAGCGUGGGUAGCAAACAGGAUUAGAUACCCGAGUAGUC
rnacentral:rRNA from 1 species